AAUAGAUACCCCGGUAGUCCACGCCGUAAACGAUGAGUGCUAAGUGUUAGGGGGUUUCCGCCCCUUAGUGCUGCAGCUAGCGCAUUAAGCACUCCGCCUGGGGAGUACGGUCGCAAGACUGAAACUCAAAGGAAUUGACGGGGGCCCGCACAAGCGGUGGAGCAUGUGGUUUAAUUCGAAGCAACGCGAAGAACCUUACCAGGUCUUGACAUCCCACUGACCGCUAUGGAGACAUAGUUUUCCCUUCGGGGACAGUGGUGACAGGUGGUGCAUGGUUGUCGUCAGCUCGUGUCGUGAGAUGUUGGGUUAAGUCCCGCAACGAGCGCAACCCUUGAUCUUAGUUGCCAUCAUUUAGUUGGGCACUCUAAGGUGACUGCCGGUGACGAACCGGAGGAAGGUGGGGAUGACGUCAAAUCAUCAUGCCCCUUAUGACCUGGGCUACACACGUGCUACAAUGGACGGUACAAACGGUUGCCAACCCGCGAGGGGGAGCUAAUCCGAUAAAACCGUUCUCAGUUCGGAUUGUAGGCUGCAACUCGCCUAC
rnacentral:rRNA from 1 species